AUACAUAGGGUGCGAGCGUUGUCCGGAAUUACUGGGCGUAAAGAGCUCGUAGGUGGUUUGUCGCGUCGUCUGUGAAAUUCCGGGGCUUAACUCCGGGCGUGCAGGCGAUACGGGCAUAACUUGAGUACUGUAGGGGAGACUGGAAUUCCUGGUGUAGCGGUGAAAUGCGCAGAUAUCAGGAGGAACACCGGUGGCGAAGGCGGGUCUCUGGGCAGUAACUGACGCUGAGGAGCGAAAGCAUGGGUAGCGAACGGGAUUAGAUACCCUGGUAGUCCAUGCCGUAAACGGUGGGCGCUAGGUGUAGGGGUCUUCCACGACUUCUGUGCCGUAGCUAACGCAUUAAGCGCCCCGCCUGGGGAGUACGGCCGCAAGGCUAAAACUCAAAGGAAUUGACGGGG
rnacentral:rRNA from 1 species